AGGUUAUAACAGCCACAGUCUUUACCUCCCAGAGUCCUGGGGAGAAGGGCCCAAGUGAGAGAAUGUCUACCAGUGCUGUAAACUGUUCCGUGCUAUUAAGGGAUUAUGGCAGCUUGUUUGGGUGACUACGUGCAGAAGAUCUUGUGCCUGGGAUCCUGGGGGCCUGCGUGCUGACUGUGAGGAGACACGAAGGGUGAAAAUGUAGGAAAUGACGAUCCAUUCCUGGGUGGAAGGCCAGCGCUCCAUCUUCACUAACACGAUAUAGUUGAAGAGCAUCAGCUCCUGGGCAUACUGCCUUCCUCUGCAUGGCACAGUCGACCAGCUGAGACUCGGAGAAGUCAGGCCUGACCCCGAGAGGCCCUCAUCUCAAGCUUUUGGAGAUUUCUUUAAGAAUGGAAUUAUUUCCUUCUCACUCACAACAAUAGCAGUGGCAACAACAACAAUAAUGAUUAAACAUUGCAGAACAGGAAGAAUUUGAAAAAAAAUAGAGACAUUCUAUCUGGAUGGCAAGUGACAGGAUGCCAUAAAGAUGGCUAAGGUCCUAAUGGUGAAGAGUUCCAGGCUUGGGGUCCCUCAGAAGGAGGAUCACGUCCUAACUUGGGCCCUAAGAACCCAUGACACCUUGGAUAAGUCUUUUAACUCCCCAAAGACUUGGUUUCUUUGUCUGUAGAAUUAGGGUAAUACUAGCACCUGCUAGAAAGUUGGUAUAUAAUCAACAGAUCUGGCAUUUAAUAAGUGCUCAGUGAGUAUUGCCAGCCUCUAAAGUGAUCCAAGACUCUCAAACACUGUUGGCUGAAAUGAUCCAGUUGGUACCUCUCACCAGAAAAAAGUGUAUGUUAUUAGCAUUGAUUACAGUAUAAUUUCUUGGCUUUAAUUCUUUCAAUAUCAUUCUGAGACAAGAUUAGUUCUACGAUGUUGGGGAAAUAAAAUUUUCAUUAAAGGUGAGAACAGGAUCAAACCUUUUAACUCUUAGAGACUGAUAAAGAUUUGGGAGAAGAAAAAGCACUAAGAAUACACGUUUGGAGUUCAGAGAUCUAAUUAUAGAAAUAACUUAAGGUUAUCUUGAAGUUGAGAACAUAGACAACCACUGGUGAGUAGAUGAUUCUGGUUUCAAACCACCUUACAUAAAAUAUAAAUAUUAGUUUCCAAUGUUUCUGUCAUUGCCUCAAAUAUGCACUUCACUCACCCAUGUAACCAUCACAAAUGAGUUACCUGUGACCGAUAGGACUUCUGCAGAAGGUAACUUCCAUUCCUUUAUAGAGCCUUUAGCUAGAGAAGUACCAUGAGCUGUUGAAUAGGUAACAUUCUGUACUCUGGCCUAUUUAGGUGCAGAUUUUGAUCAGUAAGAUGAACUAAUCUUUGUGAUAGAUAUAGCAAACUAGAAAGCAAUGAAUUAUUGAUCAUUGACUCCAAGAUACUCUGAAGUUAUAUAUUUGUCCCUCUAUAAUUUAUAAUUUAGUAACAUAAACACAACAUCCCUCCUCCUGUUGGCUUUUUGUGUGCUCACAAUAUGCUGCUAUUUGAGGACACGAUGAGAUGACAGUAAAGGCAGCUUGGAGGGUUUAGGCCUCGGGAAAGUGGCAUCUUCAGGUAACCUCUAGGGACAGAGGCUGUCCUGACAGAGUCAAAACAACACCCUGGGCCUGUGGACAGGUUGGGACUUUAUUAAGCAAAAUGCAAGACAUUUAUAUGACAAUGCAGGUAACACAAUAACAAAAAUAUAACAACCUGUUUUGCCUCUGCUAUUCAGAUAUAUUCUAAAGUGAGUGCAUUUUUAAACUGCUUGUCUUUCAUGGG